CGGAGAAUUGCUAGCUUGCUAAUAAUUCUCUAGUGGCGCACGGGUGAGUAACACGUGAGUACCUGCCCCCAAGAGUGGGAUAGCCCCGGGAAACUGGGAUUAAUACCGCAUAAAGCAAUAAAGCAGCAAUGCGCUUGGGGAUGGGCUCGCGUCCUAUUAGUUAGUUGGUGAGGUAACGGCUCACCAAGGCGAUGACGGGUAGCCGGUCUGAGAGGAUGUCCGGCCACACUGGAACUGAGACACGGUCCAGACACCUACGGGUGGCAGCAGUCGAGAAUCAUUCACAAUGGGGGAAACCCUGAUGGUGCGACGCCGCGUGGGGGAUAAGGUCUUCGGAUUGUAAACCCCUGUCAUGUGGGACAUUAAAAGAUAGUACCACAAGAGGAAGAGACGGCUAACUCUGUGCCAGCAGCCGCGGUAAUACAGAGGUCUCAAGCGUUGUUCGGAAUCACUGGGCGUAAAGCGUGCGUAGGCGGUUUCGUAAGUCGUGUGUGAAAGGCGGGGGCUCAACCCCCGGACUGCACAUGAUACUGCGAGACUAGAGUAAUGGAGGGGGAACCGGAAUUCUCGGUGUAGCAGUGAAAUGCGUAGAUAUCGAGAGGAACACUCGUGGCGAAGGCGGGUUCCUGGACAUUAACUGACGCU
rnacentral:rRNA from 1 species